UCAAGAAACUUCCACAAUGGGCGAAAGCCUGAUGGAGCGACGUCGCGUGAUGGACGAAGUGCUUCGGCACGUAAACAUCUUUUAUGUGGGAUGAAAUUAUUGACAGUACCACAUGAAUAAGGGGCUCCUAACUCUGUGCCAGCAGGAGCGGUAAUACAGAGGCCCCAAGCGUUAUCCGGAAUCACUGGGCGUAAAGGGUGUCGAGGCGGUUGUGUUAGUCGUUCGUAAAAUCUACGAGCUUAACUUGUAGGCGGCGAACGAAACGGUACGACUUGAGGUUUGGAGAGGUGCGUGGAACUCACGGUGUAGGGGUGAAAUCCGUUGAUAUCGUGGGGAACACCAAAGGCGAGGGCAGCGCACUGGCCAAAAUCUGACGCUCACACACGAAAGCUAGGGUAGCGAAGAGGAUUAGAUACCCGUGUAGUCCCUGAGCGGGCUGGCAAGGCGCAU
rnacentral:rRNA from 1 species